ACUCCUACGGGAGGCAGCAGUAGGGAAUCUUCCACAAUGGGCGCAAGCCUGAUGGAGCAACACCGCGUGAGUGAAGAAGGGUUUCGGCUCGUAAAGCUCUGUUGUUAAAGAAGAACACGUAUGAGAGUAACUGUUCAUACGUUGACGGUAUUUAACCAGAAAGUCACGGCUAACUACGUGCCAGCAGCCGCGGUAAUACGUAGGUGGCAAGCGUUAUCCGGAUUUAUUGGGCGUAAAGAGAGUGCAGGCGGUUUUCUAAGUCUGAUGUGAAAGCCUUCGGCUUAACCGGAGAAGUGCAUCGGAAACUGGAUAACUUGAGUGCAGAAGAGGUAGUGGAACUCCAUGUGUAGCGGUGGAAUGCGUAGAUAUAUGGAAGAACACCAGUGGCGAAGGCGGCUACCUGGUCUGCAACUGACGCUGAGACUCGAAAGCAUGGGUAGCGAACAGGAUUAGAUACCCCGU
rnacentral:rRNA from 1 species